GAUGAAGAACGCAGCGAAAUGCGAUAAGUAAUGUGAAUUGCAGAAUUCAGUGAAUCAUCGAAUCUUUGAACGCACAUUGCGCCCGCCAGUAUUCUGGCGGGCAUGCCUGUUCGAGCGUCAUUACAACCCUCAGGCCCCCGGGCCUGGCGUUGGGGAUCGGCGGAGCCCCCCGUGGGCACACGCCGUCCCCCAAAUGCAGUGGCGGUCCCGCCGCAGCUUCCAUCGCGUAGUAGCUAACACCUCGCGACUGGAGAGCGGCGCGGCCACGCCGUAAAACACCCAACUCUUCUGAAUGUUGACCUCGAAUCAGGUAGGAAUACCCGCUGAACUUAAGCAUAUCAAUAAGCGGAGGA
rnacentral:misc_RNA from 1 species